CUCGGCGCUCACUGCUGACAGAACUGCCUCUCAGGAAAGCGCUAUCAGCCCUCUGCUGUUGCUACACCCACGCUGUUGCAGAACUGGAGGCAGCGAGCUGUGCAGUCUUGCCAAGAUUUACGAGAUGAUCCUGAGGCACUCAACGGAGAGACAAGAGCAGCAUCACACUCAAAUGUGAGGACGACGUGCACAACUCCUCCUCCGUCAGCUGCGGGACAUGACGGCUGACUGGCUCACGCUGUGCGCGUCGCUGGCCGCCGGCGGUGCGCUGCUGCUGCUCCUCUGGUGGCGCCGCCACAGCCAGCACUUCGGCCGCCUCGGGUUGCCCUCCGUGCCGCCGCUGCCGCUCGUCGGCAACAUGCUGGACGUGGUACUCUACAGGAAGUCCUUCACCGAGGUCGUCCAAGACCUGUACCAGAAGCUCGACCCGUUUCCGUACGGUGGCGUCUUCUCCUUCACGAUCCCGGCAGUCAUGGUCAGAGACCCCGAACUGAUCCGAUCUGUCACCGUCAAGAAUUUCGACCAUUUCACCGACCACAUGGACUUCUUUACGACUGACAAGGCCAAUCCCCUGCUAACGAGAAUGCUUUUCGCUUUGAAAGGGAAGGAGUGGCACGACAUGAGGACUACUCUGAGCCCGGCCUUCACCUCUAUGAAGAUGAAAAAUAUGUUCGUACUUAUAUCAGAGAUUGGGCAGCAGAUGGUCCGGCACCUAACGAAAGAAAUGGCAGAGCUGAGAGUUUCUUCCCAGGAGGAGAAGAUCCUAACACUAGAGCUGAGGGACUUCUUCAGACGCGUCACUAAUGACGUGAUUGCGACUACGGCGUUUGGUGUCAAAGUGGACUCAUUGUCCGAACCUAGCAACGAGUUCUUCACCACGGGCCGAGAUCUGUCCAAUAUCAACCCAUUCGUCAGUUUCGGCUAUUUUAUAUCGGCAAGGAUGAUGGAGAUGCUGGGUAUUCCGUUCUUCAGUCAGAAGGCGGUGAGUUUCUUCAAGUCUUUGGUGGUAGAGACGAUUCAGACUCGAGAGAAGCAAGGAAUCAUCCGCCACGACAUGAUCCACCUGCUCAUGCAGGCGCGCCGUGGCGAGUUGGCACCUGAGGACGGGCAGAAGAACGGCACCGCCGAGGGCAAACGCAGGCAUCUCACGGACGAGGACAUAGCGGCCCAGGCGAUGAUAUUCUUCUUCGCCGGCUUCGACACCGUGUCGACACUGCUGACGUUCUGCAGCUACCUGCUGGCCACGCACGAGGACGUCCAGAGGCGGCUGCAGAGGGAGGUGGAUCAGCUGAUGGAGAAGAGUGGGGGGCAGCCCAGCUACGAGCAGGUCACGGGCUGCCAGUACCUCGACAUGGUCAUCUCCGAAACUCUGCGCAUGUACCCUCCUGCGCCUUUCUUGGACCGAGAAUGCGUCCGCACGUACCGCCUACCAGCCACGGAUUCGUGCCCGAGCGUCGAACUGCGACCUGGAGACGGGAUCUGGGUGCCCGUUCACGGAAUCCACAACGAUCCCAAAUACUUCGCAGAGCCUGAUUGCUUCAGACCUGAGCGCUUCACUCCGGAGAACAAGCAGCUCAUCGCACCGUUCACAUACUCUCCUUUCGGGUCAGGACCUCGUGUUUGUAUAGGUAAGCUGUACUUUAUUUUUUAUUUUGAGUUAUGUCAGUUCUUAAAGAAAAGCAGGAUCAGCAUCACUACAUUAAAGACACGUUAAACAUACGAUGGAAAACAAAAAGUAGGAGGAGACACUACAGAGAUUUCGCAAGCGAGUAGUGCAAUAUCAUUGAUGAAAUUCCCUCGGUUUUUGUGUCGUGUCAAGUUCAAAUGAGAACUGAUGUUUUCCGUUAUUUCCUCCUUCGUCAUCGAAGGGAAAUGACUGUCGUAAUUCGUGCUGCAGGAGCGUUGUUUAUGUAGUCAGUCGAAUCGUUCAGUAGAAAUAUCUCUGGAAUGAGCAUAUCUCUGGAAUGAGCAUUACGUUCAGAGCAUCUUGUCAGCAUUAAGCUGGAAGUGUCACGUGAUCUCUCGGGACAAUGCCAUUUUCUUCAGGCCAUUUCUCAUUGGGCGUCACAUCACGUCACGCGAAAACAUUCCACAAUGCAUUUCAAAUAGAGGCAAUCACACUGCUCGUCAACGGACCGUUAUAUCACGGCACAAGGUUUCUCGCGAAGAAAGUUUUGACGGUGUCGUCGUCUGAUAACAUCGUAAGUUAUCCAAUUUUCGCUGCUGUGUUUUUGUGUCAUCGUAAUAUUUAUUUUCUUAUUGUUCUGCAUUCGUGGAAAGUUGCAAAUGUUCCGUGACGAGUCGGAUAUUUUUUAUAUUGAGUGUUCUUACACCAGCGAUGUCAGAUAUCUCAAAGCGAAAAAUUAUUCAGUUUUUACAAUAAAGAACAGAGCUGACAUGCGUGUAAAUAAGAACAUAAGUUAACGAAGCAAUUUCCACUACCUAACAUGUUUAGUGAAAAGGUCUACUCUAAUGAAAGAGAAAAACGUAGGUGUUUAAGACGUUAUUUGUUACAUAAGAAAAAACAAAACGGAUGAGUUAACAGGUUCCAUUUCUUCGUUUAAAGCUAUUGCUUGACGUGUUUGUAUGUGUAUAUUUCCCCUAGCAAUUAAAUGUCGAUGUUUUUAAAUGUUGUUUCACUUUUCAGCACAUUACCGAACAAAACUGGUCAAGGACGUACGUUAUGAAUUUUGUUUAGGCCAGUAAUAACCUUUGACGUUGUUAGUUCCUCAAUUCCUUUGGCUUUUUGUAUCACAGAUGUUGGCUCAUAAGUAUAUUUACGUCUUUCGGUACUGGGCUAAGCGAACUGAUGUGACGAUACCGUGACGUGAUUCCCAUUCAUUUUGUUCAUCAAAACUACGAGCCCAGCUUAUUCCAGGCAUCAAAUUUAUAUUGUUAUGGUGUCUACAAAUCGCAUAUACCAAGUCCAUGGCACCUAAGAAGUUAAUCUGUACUAACGAUACUAGUGAUAUGACGCUAUUCGAAAUUUAUAGGAUACAUUACGUACAAAUCUACGUCGUCCCGUGACAAUGGUGGCAAAGUAUGUUGAUAAUAGAAAAUCAAUUCUGCGCAUUUGAAUGCUCACUCCAGAGAUAUUUCUAUUAUAUGGGUCGAAUACAGAGAUCUCUAUACAACCUGGAUGUAGAAGUCCGGUCUCUGAGUACAGAACUGCAGCGAGUCUGCAAAUUCAUGUGCUUUGCAUCGUCCGCCAUGUUGCAGUUUGGCAAGAAAUAUCGAUCGGUCUGUGCGUGACAAAGAAUUGCAGACCGAUUUCUUGUUUUGAACUUUAUGUCAAUUUGUGAUAUAACAGGUUGAUACGAGAGCGGAAUCUGAAAGUAUUUCCUUUUCAUGAUCUAGUGACAUUUCCUAGCAGCCAUGUUGUAGUUUGGCAAGAAACGAAAUAUAGGCAUCUAUGGCUGGCACGAUCAGACAGCGGAAGUUGAACGUUCAGGUGGUAUAGAGAUCACUGUAGAUGCGUUAUGUAAAGGCCGAGGAGACUAUACUCAUUAUCACAGAGGAUGUUGCUGUCUACGAAGUAGAUGAUGGUAGUAAAGUAGCCACCACCGCCGAUCUUGUUGGAGAGUAAACACUUCUCCGCGUAUUCGUCUACAUAAAAGGAACGGAAUAACACUGAUUAAGCAAACAAUUAUUUCAGUAACAAAAAGAAAAAAAAAUGUGGGUCAAUAACCGUCAAAAGACCAAAGUUAGAAGAAAUGUCUCUACCGGGUUAAGAGUUUCAAAACAGAGAAAUAUUAAGAGCAUAAUGAAAAGCAGUCAGUAUUUUAAAGAAUAGGAAGAAAAAAUGCAAAUAAUCAGCCAUGACAGCGAAAGAAUGAAAAAAACUAGAAAAAAAGGAAA